GAGAGGAACUGCUGGACCACAGUUG
rnacentral:piRNA from 1 species